AGCCGCCGGCCCCUGCCUUGCCUGAAUCUGACGUCCCGUCACUGAAAACCGCCUCAUAUUGUUCCCGGCCGAUGGGCAGUGUCGGAGGUCGGAGCUGUGUGCUCUGCGG
rfam:Myotis lucifugus cont2.47294, whole genome shotgun sequence.